rnacentral:rRNA from 1 species
UACGUAGGCAGCGAGCGUUGUUCGGAAUUACUGGGCGUAAAGAGUGUGUAGGUGGUGCUCUAAGUUUGGUGUGAAAUCUCCCGGCUCAACCGGGAGGGUGCAUCGAAAACUGGAAUGCUCGAGGAUGGGAGAGGUAAGCGGAAUUCCUGGUGUAGCGGUGAAAUGCGUAGAUAUCAGGAGGAACACCUGUGGUGUAGACAGCUUACUGGACCAUUUCUGACACUGAGACACGAGGGCGUGGGUAGCAAACAGG